CUGGCGGAGGCCACGUCAGGACCGCGCCGUGGUUGAGCUCUCCCUAUGGGGUGCCUGGGGGAACUUCCCCUGAUUGGCUCGCAAGAGCUGAUUACGUGCACCAUCCGGUCCAGCCCUCAGCAAUUAAAUUGGCCAGCCGUGCUCCAGGCACCCUCUCUCUCCCGCCCGCGCUGGAGGGAGCUGAUGGCGCGCCCUCUGAAGCUUUCCCUGGUCUCUGUUCGCCAGGCCUUGGUCCUGCUGCUGUUCUUCAUCGGGCUUCCCGGCUGCUCAGCGGAACCAUGCACUGACCCUAUGAUCACUCCUUCCUACUACACCACCUCUGAUGCAGUCAUUUCCACCGAGACUGUUUUCAUCGUUGAGAUCUCUCUGAUGUGCAAGAAUGGAGCACAGAAUGUAGCCCUCUAUGCUGAUGUUAACGGAAAGCAGUUUCCAGUGACCCGGGGCCAGGAUAUUGGCCGUUAUCAGGUGUCCUGGAGCUUGGAACAUAGGAGCGCUCAUUCUGGAACAUAUGAAGUCAAGUUCUUUGAUGAAGAAUCCUACAGUCUUUUGAGAAAGGCCCAGAGAAGCAAUGAGGAUAUUUCGGCCAUUAGACCUUUGUUCACAGUUAGUGUGGAUCACCGGGGUGCUUGGAACGGGCCUUGGGUCUCUACCGAGGUGCUGGCUGCAAUGAUCGGCAUGGUGGUCUAUUACAUGGCCUUUAGUGCCAAGAGCAACAUUCAAGCCUGAGCCAUAUGAAUUGAGUUUCCCUGAAUACAAGUUUUUCUUCAUGAAAAAAUAAAAGGGCUAAACCUCACCAGUCCCUUCGACAGAACUUCAAGAUGUGGACUCGAGGCUGUGAUCUUUGUGCUUGCCCUCUGGAUACUCUCCACCUUCCCAGUGGUCAUUUUAUCCUGUGACGCUGCCUAGAACUGAGCAAAGUGCUUCAGAUUUCAUCUUGACAAAAGACAGGGGAGACUGAUACACCCAGAUCUGGAUUCAUGCAAAGGCCUUCAAACCAGGCAUUCCCUGUCCUGGACUGUAGAAUUAAGCUGAUGCCAUUUACACUCUUCUCCAAGUCAUUGUAUUAAUGACUUGGAUGUGGAGAUGAGUGAAGGUUUACGGAUACUUCAUCGGAAACCUGUUAGUUCAUAACAUUGAACUAACCACUCAUAAAUCUGUGCAUUCAACCUGUUCCAAAUCCCUGCUACAAGAAUACUAUGAGCCUAAUCACAUAUUGCUAAAGUCUUAAGUAAAUUAGCACUCCUUGAUGAAGACCCUCAAUUAAAUUCUUGUCACAAAUUGGCAUAGUUAGGUAAAACAUUGUCAUUGUUUGUCCAUGACCCCAAAUUAAAACUUAUUUUGUAUCUUGUCUCAA